UAGAUCCAGGAUGAGCGCGAGAAUUCCGAGUUCCUUCUCCUCCAGGGACAGGCUGGGCUUGUUCCGUACGCACCCGUUCCACAUCUUUGGUUUCUUGGUGCUACGGUUAGGGUUUCGCUUGAUUGGUUUGAGAAAAAGAUUUUUCCCCUUCCCGUAUUUGGUUUCUUGGUGUUACGAUUAGGGGUUUCCUUGAUUUGUUGAUGAAAAGAGAUCGUUUCUUCGAUUCUUGGAUUCUUGUUUUCCGAUCUUGUAUUAUUGGUUGGGUUUUGGAUCGGAUUAGGAGACAGAAAAGGUUGGAUUUCCUCUAGGAGUCAGGGUUGACGGUGGGGAAGGGGAGCUCCGAUGGUUCCAAGGCGCUUCAAGAACUACCAGCGGUGGCUUCCAGUACCUCAGCAUCCGAGGCUAGUUCCUCCAAGGUACAAUUCUUUUUGGGUUUAUUAUGUUAUUCAUUUUUGACAUCAGAUAUAUUGAUAGUUAGUAUAAAAAGGAUGGGGUAUCACAUGUUGUUUGAUGCUGCUAGGCAUCAACUGAACCUUAAUUUUUCAACAUGGAUUUAUUGUGUACUUCACUAAUAACUGUCUAGACGAAUUUGACAAAGAACUAUUACAACUUCGAAUAAUAUACACGAGCAUAUGGAAUCUUGACCACGCCCCUUGUUUUAUUAUUCCUUUGACUAUGACCAGUCAAUGAGUUUAACUCUUUUCUUGCCUGUUAUAAUUUAUGAAGCCGGAAAACCCUUUCAUGUUUUCUCAGUGUAUCGAUAGUUCCAAUUGGCCAGUUCCUAAUAAAGAAAGUCUUGAAGUGCGUGCAUGUCAUAUGAAGCUUGUUAUAUCACAGCUGGCUAAACCUAAUAACAGUUACAUAAAAAGUAGCUUUAUUAAUCAUGCUGGUUCAUCUUACAUGAGGACAUGAUAUUAUUCUGACAUGCUGGUACACCUGAACUUUGCAACUAGUUGAUAGGUCUCACAUGGUUUAAUCUUUGAGGGUUUCAGAUGAUAAGUUGCUCAAGAUAUAUCACUUAAGAUUUAUAUGGAAGAGAUCUCUCUUUGGCGACAGUAAUCUCCAAUUAUAUUGGAUAAGAAUGAGCAACUUUGUUGCGUUCCAUGGAAUCUGUUUCUGUGUUAAAUUUGGUCAGUGGCUAGCCAUAUAUUUCUAUUUUGGACCAUCAAUUGACAUUGAAUAUACUGUUGUUUUGUCUACAGAAUAUAUCGGUCAUACAUGUAUGUAUCUUUGUAAUUAUUAGUAAUAGUUUAUUUUAGAAAAUCUUUACACUCUAGGAGAUAUGGAAUAUUAAAUGCAACACCUGCAUUAAUUUAACUGUGACUGGAAUUCUUUAUUUGAUGACAAUGACCUAGGACUAUCUUGAUAAGAAUGAGGUUGCCUUAGGGACUUCAUGUGCAAACAAGGGACUUAUUAUAUGGAAGGAAUUUUCUUGUCUACUUUGACAUAAAGUGUUUUUAAGUAUGAAAGAGAAGUUCAGGGCAUAAUCUAUGAGCUGAACUCUGGGAUUUUUGCUCUAUAAUUAGUGAGCUACACUAAAGGACCCUUUUCAUGUUGGUUAUGCCAGAAGAUUUUUCAAAAUCUCCCACUUCUGCCAUCAUGAAACCUAAUAAGUAUAUGUGAAUAUACAACGAAUACAUAUAUGAAUUUAUUAUGAGUAGAGAAAGUUGGCUUAUCGUGGCUGGUACAUAUCAUAAGUACACUCUGGAGGAAAAGAAGAAAAGAGAAGGCAUUCAUUUUGCAGAGAUGUAUUGGACUUGUUACUUCAUCAAAUAGUUGAAUAAUGAAGAUUUUCACCCUGUGUUAUAUAGUCUUUAGCAUGACAUUUCAUGUAUCAUCUUAAGCUCCAACUCCUAUAUGCGACUGAAGUAAUAUGCUCCUUUUUUGUGGAUCCUUGGACUGGCAUGUUUUUUAGAUGUCUGAAUUGUCCCAGGGUUUAAGUGUUCUAAGUUUUUCUCAAUUAUAUAGAGAGCUAAAUUGUAAGCCUAUACUCCUCUGGAUGUGCGCAAAGAUCAUGUCCGAAAUAAAAUGGCCACGACAGAAACUCAGAAACUAUUAUUCUUCCGUGAUUUUCAUAAAUAUCAGAAGUUUCUUGUUGGCAUGCUUGAAAGGUGAGAAAAAUUAUAAAAUUCUAAACAUACACUUAGAGAAUAGCAUCAGUAUACUAUUUCUUCCUCUUAAACUUGAGAACCAUAACUAUGCCUACAUUGCUCUAUCUUCUUCUCUCUGAAUCUUUGUUCUUCCUCUUUCUUCUUUCUCCAUUUUCUCUACUUCUAUCUUUGAAAUCUCAACCUGUAAACCCUGUCAUUUUCAACAUGCACCAAGAACAGAUAUGUAGUGCCAUGAAUAUAUAGUUCUCAUCAUGGGGAAAGAGAAGUCUGGAAGCGCCUUCUUUACUUCAUUCCAUGAGUAUACAGUCCAUUGAUGUGGCCAAACGAGUAUGGUUUUGGAGAAAUGAAGCUUGACACUUGAUAUACUUUAAGAAAUACUUCUCAGUAUUGAUGUAUUCUGAGAAAAAUGUCAGGUCAAUUGGACAACGUUUCUAGGGGGCUACUGCACUUCAGAAUUUUAGAUGGAUUGGGUAACCCUUUAAAACUGCUUGGGUGAUGUUACCUCUUGCAGAACUGAUGAAUGGAUCACUCACAAGCCGGUGAGAACCCAAAACACCCCUGAAAAAGUUUGAGUUGUUCAAUCCAGCUAACAUAACAGUUUCUUUUCCAUGGUGAUGAAAGAUGAGCUGUAGGACAAUAUUUCAUGGGAAAGUAGUAGCCAUUAGUCUCAUAUAGACUCUACAUUUGAGAUCUACAGAUGACAUUGAAGUGCCGGUUGGAACACAGCAAGGUUUGGGCAAAUAUCUAACAGGAAUCCAAUGAUAACUGGAUCAUCAGCAACACCACUCAUCUAGAGUUCAUUCACGUCCAAAGCACAUUGGACGUGAUUCUGAGUUCAGCAUUGAAGACCAAAAGAACAGGGGAAACCAACAGGCAGAAUAUAACCGUCAUCAAGGUGAGCCAAAGACAACGGAGGAAGAGAGCAGCCCAGAAGGUUGAAACAAUUGAAGAGGGCAGGAGAGGCUCUGUUUUUGGCUGUCCCAGCUCUGCAGAGAUGGAGGUAGCGGAGAUGGAGAUGAAGGGGGGAGUAAAAGGGAUGAAGUGAAAAAAACGAUAAAAUUGAAAAUAAAGGAGAAGGCAGGAAAUUCAUAAAUGAUGAACUACGACAAGCAAGAAAGGGUGAACGACAUCACCUCUAGGUGAGGUAGGGGAAGAAAGGUUAUUUAUGAAAACACAAAAACAUGAAACAUUUGACAAAAAAUAAAAAUAAAAAAAACAAAAAUCACCCAAUUUUAUUUGUUAAUGCAGAUACAAACUUAUUGAUCUCCAUUCAUUGCCGACGCAUAUAUAAAUUAUUCUGUAUGUGGUACCAUGGUUUGUCCAACUUGAAACCACAAUUUGUUGAGAGCUCUGGUUAAAAAGCUCAAUCAAAUUCCUUCUUCAGGUGUCACCUUUGACAUGUUUCGCUCGUGGGAUGCCCAACCUCUUUACAAAUCAUCGACUAUAAUAAGAAAAGUUCCUUCAAGAAAAGUCCUCUUACCAAGUGAAGACUUCCCCACCGGAUCUCAUCUUGCCUUCCAAAUCAGAAGUUCUAGUCAAAUCAUCUGAGCAGUUUCAUAGAGGAAACUCUUUCUGAAGAAUAUCAAGGUUUCGCGAGUCACAAGCUUCAAACAUGUCAUUCCGAGAUGCACAGCUG